CCGAACGGACGCGUAAUCUACCCACGACCUUCCCUCAGAAUACAAAAAACAAAGUACCCACGACCUUCCUGGUCGCCCCCAGCGCCGCCAUCGGCCUCCUCCGGCAGACCCGCCGGCGGCCUCCCCCCGCAGGCCCCGCCGCCACCGCGGGCCUCCUCCCGCAGACCUGCCUCCGCCGCCGCCGCCCUCAACCGGAGAAGAUGGUGCCCAGCCCCGCCCCCGCCCCCAACCGGAGAUGUCGCCGCCACCGCCGACCACCUUCACAAUCGCCGCCGCCCACCACCCCGACCACCUCCGCAACCACCGCCGACGACCACCUCCUCCGCCCCCCGCCGCGACCACCUCUGCCGCCCACUACUCCGGGGCGACCUGCCCGCCCUUCCAACGCGAUCUGCCGCGUGUGCUCUGGCGCGCCCCAUCCUUCAGGGUCAGAACAGCGCGGGGGGAGCUCGAGCUGCACCACCCGCCGCCGCUCCCCGUGCAGGCUGUUCACCGACGAGCUCCUGCAUCGGUGCCAUCUUCCUGCCCUGCUCCACCUGAACUCUCUCCCCUGAUUGAUCUCUCUCUCUCUGUGUGUGUGUGUGUGUGUGUGUGUGUGUGUGUGUGUGUGUGUGUGUGUGUGUGUGUGUUGUGUUCUUCAAAUAGCAUCAGCUAAGUGCUAUUAGAUGAUCAUAUCUAGUUGCGCAAUCCUCUGUUUUGCUGCUUACUGGGAGAGCCUAUAUACACUAACUAUUCUUGCUAUGGAAUCUGUAAGUUUGGUCCCAACUCUUCUUGCUGCAGGACCUUGUUGCUUGCAUCGCCGUGUCUUUUGGCAAGGAGUAAAUUAUCAUUUGGAGGGGAACAGACUGAUGAAAGCAUACAGGAUAGUAUGCAAAAGACAUUCCCUUCAGUUCUUGAAUCAGAGUGCCGCAGUGAAGAGCAAGAUGCUUUUUUGGUUGAUGAAUUGGUCCGAAUAGAUUGAGAGGCCACGACCACCAGGUUCCUCUCUUUUGGUCUUGUGGUGAAUGCUCUAUUGGGGUGUUCCCAUAGUGAUCGAUGUUCUUGAAGGACAUGAAGUUUGACGCUGUUAACGCGAUGCUUAUGUGUGCAGACAUGCUGAGAUGGAGGAAAGAGCUCGGUGUGAACAUGAUCCUUGAGGCGAUCACGCUGACCUACAGCAAUCUUUGCUUAAUGUCCAACAUUCAACGAGCUCACGUGGACAGGGUUUUGAGUUUGACCGCCCCCUGGCGACACGAGCCUGCCCUCCUCUGCACCACCCCUGGUGGCGAGCCCUGCCUCUGCUGCUGAGGCUGCCGCUGCAUCACUCCCUCCCCCUGCUCAUCUUUGUGCCUGCCAGUUGGUUUAGGUGGCAGCAGUAUAAGAUGUUAUCGCUGGUCUGUUGCCAAUUUACCAUGAACCAUCCUACUAGCGUAACGUAUGCAUUUAUCCAAGGAAUACUGUACCUUCCAGAUUUUCUCGUAUAUUUGUACCAUA